rnacentral:rRNA from 1 species
AUUGAACGCUAGCGGGAUGCUUUACACAUGCAAGUCGAACGGAGUGGCGGACGUGUGAGUAAUAUAUCGGAACUUGCCCCUUCGCGGGGGAUAACUACUCGAAAGAGUGUCUAAUACCGCAUACUAUUAGAUCUGCCUCUAUCGGAUUAGCUAGUUGGUGGGGUAAAGGCUCACCAAGUCAAAGAUCCGUAGCUUGUUUGAGAGGACGACCAGCCAAACUGGGACUGAGACACGGCCGAGACUCCGACGGGAGGCAGCAGUGGGGAAUUUUGGACAAUGGGUGAAACAAUGAUCCAGCCAUCCCGCGUGUAUGAUGAAGGCCUUCGGGUUGUAAAGUACUUUUGGCAGAGAAGCGGUAUCUGCAGAAUAAGCACCGGCUAACUACGUGCCAGCAGCCGCGGUAAUUC